rnacentral:RNase_P_RNA from 1 species
CCAGACGGUCGGGCGGUCGCCGUGAUCAUGGAGCUCCGCAAGGCCUCCGUGACCAUGGAGGAAAGUCCGGGCUCCACAGGUAAACGGUGCCGGCUAACAGCCGGCGGGGGCGACCCCAGGGAAAGUGCCACAGAAACAAGACCGUCCGUCUGCCAGGCUGCCUGCAGCUCAGGCACGGAUAAGGGUGAAACGGUGCGGUAAGAGCGCACCGCAGGCCUGGCAACAGGCCUGGUCAUGGUAAACCCCACCGGGAGCAAGACCGAAUAGGAACGGCUGGUUCGCAAGAACCAAGGGUCACCUGCCCUGUCGUUCGGGUUGGUCGCGCGAGGCAGGUUGUAAGACCUGUCCCAGAGGAAUGAUCGCCCCCUCUCAGCUUUUGAGAGCGGACAGAACCCGGCUUACAGGCCGUCUGGUCCU